AUUGAACGCUGGCGGCAUGCUUUACACAUGCAAGUCGAACGGUAACAGGGUGCUUGCACCGCUGACGAGUGGCGAACGGGUGAGUAAUACAUCGGAAUGUACCCAGUAAUGGGGGAUCACGCUUCGAAAGGAGUGCUAAUAACGCAUACGCGCUGACGGGGAAAGUGGGGGACCGCAAGGGCUCACGUAAUUGGAGCAGCCGAUGGUUGAUUAGCUAGUUGGAGAGGCAAAGGCUCACCAAGGCGACGAGCAGUAGCGGGGCUGAGAGGACGAUCCGCCACACUGGAACUGAGACACGGUCCAGACUCCUACGGGAGGCAGCAGUGGGGAAUCUUAGACAAUGGGCGAAAGCCUGAUCCAGCAAUGCCGCGUGCGUGAAGAAGGCCUUCGGGUUGUAAAGCGCUUUUGUCUGGGAGCAAAUCCUGGCCUCUAAUACAGGUCGGGGAUGAGAGUACCAGAAGAAUAAGGACCGGCUAACUACGUGCCAGCCGCCGCCGUAACAC
rnacentral:rRNA from 1 species